rnacentral:rRNA from 1 species
GACGAACGCUGGCGGCGCGCUUAACACAUGCAAGUCGAACGGAAAGGCCUGCUUUCCCUUGUGGAUUGCGGGUACUCGAGUGGCGAACGGGUGAGUAACACGUGAGUGAUCUGCCCCCAACUUGGGUAUAAGCCUGGGAAACUGGGUCUAAUUCCCGAUAGGACUGCAGGGUGGUGCCUGUGGUGGAAAACGAUUUUCUAGUGGUUGGGGAUGAGCUCGCGGCCUAUCAGCUUGUUGGUGGGGUAAUGGCCUACCAAGGCGGCGACGGGUAGCCGGCCUGAGAGGGUGGACGGCCACAUUGGGACUGAGAUACGGCCCAGACUCCUACGGGAGGCAGCAGUGGGGAAUAUUGCACAAUGGGCGGAAGCCUGAUGCAGCGACGCCGCGUGGGGGAUGACGGCCUUCGGGUUGUAAACUCCUUUCGAGCGCGAGGAAGCCACCUGGUUGGAAGGGUGGUGACGGUAGUGGUAGAAGAAGCACCGGCUAACUACGUG